AUCUGUUUCCUACUACCCUGAACUCUCCCGAUCUCGCCUGAUCUCGGAAGCUAAGCAGGGUCAGGCCCGGUUAGUACUUGGAUGGGAGACCGUCUGGGAAUACCGGGUGCUGUAGUGG
rnacentral:rRNA from 1 species